GGCCAUGUGGCGCAAUGGUAGCGUGUGGUCCUCCUAACAAGAGGAUUCAAGACUGAGGUUGUAGGUUCGAGUCCUACCAUGGUCG